CCGAGAGGGACGAGGCUGCGAGAGAGGGCCCUGCACCUCGGGCCCUUCCUGGGGGGCCGGGGGCUGACGGAGAUUUGGGGAGGAGGGCUCUCUGGCGAGUGGGGAGGCCGUCGUCCCGGGACAGGGGAGGCUGUCGCUGCGCGGAGGGAGCCUGAGGGCGCCCCGGGGGCUGCGGGGAGAGUUCUGGGCUCCCGCGUCUCUGCUCGCGGCAGCUCAAAGCGGCAGAUCGAGCUCCGCGCUUCUGCCCCGGUGGAGGCAACUUGGCGCGCUGGGAUCGCAUUUUUGUGCGCGAUCAUUAAAUCGAACUCGGCCCUACUCUGUGCUCCCGCGUAGAUCCAGGCCCUCUGUUGCCGUUUAUUUGAUUCCUUACAGGUCCGACCGCUGCCUUCCCAGUGGGAUCGGGUCUGGAAGGGUCCAUCUUGGGCGGAGGGAAGGAAACAGAAUUGUGCCCCCACAGCUACACACAUCUCUGUACCCGUGGAAGGACCUUACAAGCGUCCCCAGCGGACCCAGGAAGGGUCCUAAACAACACGGACACCCACCUGCGGAGAGUGUGCGGGCAGGCGUGGGGGUCACACCCGCGGCGGUGGGCUACUGUUUCAGGCCCAGAGGCUGGGGCUUAGAUGAGGCUCCCCUGCCCCCACCCCCAGGCUGGCCGCGGGGGGCACUCACGCCUCACACUCGUGUUCGUCCUCCGCCUGGAAGUGGUGACGUGAGUGAAGCCUCUAGAAGACUGCAGGGGCGUUUCAGGCCUGCAGGAGCAGCCAUUUAUAAACACGUGUGGAAGUGGACACAGGCCCUGAGGGAAGCCUCCGGGAGCGGACAGACUCUUCGAAUUCUAAGGCCAGAGGGAUAGAGAGAUGGUGACGGGAGCCUCAUGCCUAAUCCCCCUGAAUCAGAGAAGAGAGUCCUGGACCAGGCCCCCAGCCCCACCUGCAUGACCUCCUGCCACACCUCUCCCCUCUCCUGUGCCCUGACUCGGACACCCCUCACUUUCUGGGGCUGCCUGAUGAUGGAGGAGACACAGCCCUCUCCUUAGGAAGCUCCCAGUCUGAUGGGGGGAACACAGCCCUGCCGGCUGGGAAUCCUUAUUCUAAAGGAGACCAUGUGACCUUGGCCCCCUGAGAGCUUCCGGUCUGAUGGAGGAGACAGCUCUCAACCUUAGGGGCCUCCUAGUCUGAGAGGGGAAAGAGGCGCUUGACCGCAACAGAUGAAUAUAAGUAAAAACAAAGCAGGGUAAAUAUUGAAACCUUGAAAAUAAAAUUAGCAAAUCCAUGAUCCAAAGCUCUUAGAGGUCCCUAUUAACUGGUUAACAAAGUUAUUUUUCUCUGAUAAAAACGGAUAUGUAGAAACAUGAACGCGUCCAUAGGGCCUGUGCAUUUCACGGACUGAUUUUUUUAUACCAGGGAGCAAGGCACAGUCCACGCUUUCAUGUCCAGGCAUAUUCAGCAUAUUGGAGAGGUUAGGCGCGGGGCGUGGAGACUGGCUGGGGCACGGUGAGUCUGCAGCGAGGGUUAGCUGCUGCUAUUCUCCUUCAAGAAGAACUAGUGACUUUCAGCAGAGGUUCAUGGGCCCAGGCUUCCGAUAAUUUUGCAUUGCCAGAGUGGACGGUCCUGGAGCCCUCGGGGUCUACACAAAUGAUAAGAACAGCCCCUUUGGGCAGUUCCCCCAACCCUGUCAUUAACUGGCUGUGCGACUUUGGGCAAGUUACU